rnacentral:sRNA from 1 species
GCUGGCAUAGUGAAGCAUGCCUGUAAUCCCAGCUACUUAGGAGGCUGAGACAGGAUUGUAUUUUGAGGCCAGCCUCAGCAGAGACCCUGUCUUGA